GAUGAACGCUGGCGGCGUGCCUAAUACAUGCAAGUCGAGCGAACAGAUGAGGAGCUUGCUCCUCUGACGUUAGCGGCGGACGGGUGAGUAACACGUGGAUAACCUACCUAUAAGACUGGGAUAACUUCGGGAAACCGGAGCUAAUACCGGAUAAUAUAUUGAACCGCAUGGUUCAAUAGUGAAAGACGGUUUUGCUGUCACUUAUAGAUGGAUCCGCGCCUCAUUAGAUAGUUGGUAAGGUAACGGCUUACCAAGGCAACGAUGCGUAGCCGACCUGAGAGGGUGAUCGGCCACACUGGAACUGAGACACGGUCAAGACUCCUACGGGAGGCAGCAGUAGGGAAUCUUCCGCAAUGGGCGAAAGCCUGACGGAGCAACGCCGAGUGAGUGAUGAAGGUCUUCGGAUCGUAAAACUCUGUUAUUAGGGAAGAACAAAUGUGUAAGUAACUAUGCACGUCUUGACGGUAACUAAUCAGAAAGCCACGGCUAACUACGUG
rnacentral:rRNA from 1 species